rnacentral:rRNA from 1 species
CCUACUGGAGGCAGCAGCUAGGAAUCUUGGGAAUGGGCGAAAGCCUGACCCAGCAACGCCGCGUGGGCGAUGAAGGCCUUCGGGUCGUAAAGCCCUUUUGUGGGGGACGCGGUACCCCACGAAUAAGCCACGGCUAACUACGUGCCAGCAGCCGCGGUAAUACGUAGGUGGCAAGCGUUGUCCGGAUUUACUGGGCGUAAAGGGCGUGCAGGCGGUUUUUUAAGUCUAGGGUGAAAGCUCCCGGCUCAACUGGGAGAGGUCCUUGGAUACUGGAGAACUUGAGGGAUGCAGAGGAAAGUGGAAUUCCCGGUGUAGUGGUGAUAUGCGUAGAUAUCGGGAGGAACACCAGUGGCGAAGGCGGCUUUCUGGCAUUCCUGACGCUGAGACGCGAAAGCGUGGGGAGCGAACCGGAUUAGAUACCCUUGUAGUC